UAGGUUGAAGCCAGUUAUCUAGGGUAUUUAGCUGUUAACUAAAAUUUUGUGGGUUUAUGUCCCACCAGCCUAG
rnacentral:tRNA from 1 species